GCCGCCUUAGCUCAGUCUGGUUAGAGCGCGUCCUUGGUAAGGACGAGGUCCCGGGUUCGAUCCCCGGAGGUGGCU
rnacentral:tRNA from 1 species